GGUACCUUUAAUUCAGUCCUGUGAGGCUGACAAGGAAAGCGGAUCUGUUGAUAGAGUUAUGAACAAGUGGCAAUACAACCCCUUUAUGGGACAGCUUGUAUUAAACCUAUUAACGGAAAAGGCUUCUUGUCACAUUGACAGGGAGCCUUUUUUUA
rfam:Virgibacillus chiguensis strain CGMCC 1.6496 genome assembly, contig: Ga0104465_104